GAGGCCUUGACGGGGCCGGGGCUGCCCCGCUUCGGCUCCGAGCGGACGUGCGCGGGCCGUGAGGGACGGCAGUAUCCGGCCCCGGGGGCUUGGGCAGGCCAGGCAGCCGCUGGGGCUGCAGUGCGGGCCCUGUGGUGGCACUUACCCACGCUCUGGGGCAGGACAGGGAUCCCUUACACUGAGGCGUUUCAAACAUAAGUAUCUAAACGCUGGUGCAAUGUCUCACUGGGCCGGUCUCCUCUCCACUGCUGCCAGAGUCAACCUGCUGGUGCUGCUGGUGUCUGUGCUGUUCUCCUGGUCAAGCCUGAGCGACAGAGUUCCUGUAAGUGUUGGCUGCUCUGGCUGGGAGCUGUGCCAGUAGGGUCUGUGGUGGGGUGACAGCCUUCUCUAGAGCCCAGGAGGG
rnacentral:lncRNA from 1 species